AGAGUUUGAUCCUGGCUCAGGAUGAACGCUAGCGGCGUGCCUAAUGCAUGCAAGUCGAACGGGAUCCCAUAGAUUCGUCUAAGGGUGAGAGUGGCGAACGGGUGAGUAACACGUUGGUGACCUGCCCCAGAGAGGGGGACAACCAGUGGAAACGCUGGCUAAUGCCCCGGAUGUCAAGGUUUUUAGAAACCCUUGACUGAAGCUCCGGCGCUCUGGGAGGGGCCUGCGGUCCAUCAGCUUGUUGGUAGGGUAACGGCCUACCAAGGCGAAGACGGAUAGGGGGCGUGAGAGCGUGACCCCCCACACUGGUACUGACACACGGACCAGAUACCUGCGGGUAGCAGCAGCAAGGAAUAUUGCCCAAUGGACGAAAGUCUGAGGCAGCAACGCCGCGUGAAGGAAGAAGGCUUUCGGGUUGUAAACUUCUUUUUUGGGGGAAGAGAAAGGACGGUACCCCAAGAAUAAGAUCCGGCUAACUACGUGCCAGCAGCCGCGGUAAAACGUAGGGAUCGAGCGUUAUCCGGAUUUACUGGGCGUAAAGCGCGUGCAGGCGGUUUUCUAAGUCGGACGUGAAAGCUCCUGGCCCAACUGGGAGAGGCCGUUCGAAACUGGAAGACUUGAGGAUGGUAGAGGUAAGUGGAAUUCCCGGUGUAGUGGUGAAAUGCGUAGAUAUCGGGAGGAACACCAGUGGCGAAGGCGGCUUACUGGGCCAUUCCUGACGCUGAGACGCGAAAGCUAGGGGAGAGAACGGGAUUAGAAACCCCGGUAUUCCUAGCCGUAAACGAUGUCAACUAGGUGUAGGGGGUAUCCAACCCCCCUGUGCUGUAGCUAACGCGUUAAGUUGACCGCCUGGGGACUACGGCCGCAAGGCUAAAACUCAAAGGAAUUGACGGGGACCCGCACAAGCAGCGGAGCGUGUGGUUUAAUUCGAGAUACGCGAAGAACCUUACCAGGGUUUGACAUGUACGUGGUAGGAAGGUGAAAGCCGACUGACCCUUCGGGGAGCGUACACAGGUGCUGCAUGGCUGUCGUCAGCUCGUGCCGUGAGGUGUUAGGUUAAGUCCUGUAACGAGCGCAACCCUCGUCGUUAGUUAUACGUGUCUAACGAGACUGCCGGUGAUAAGCCGGAGGAAGGUGGGGAUGACGUCAAGUCAGCAUGGCCUUUAUAUCCUGGGCUACACACACGCUACAAUGGCCGGUACAAUGGGUAGCCAAGCCGCGAGGCGGAGCCAAUCCUUCAAAGCCGGUCUCAGUUCGGAUUGUAGGCUGCAACUCGCCUGCAUGAAGUCGGAGUUGCUAGUAAACGCGCGUCAGCAACAGUGCGUUGAAUACGUUCCCGGGUCUUGUACACACCGCCCGUCACGUCAUGGAAGUUGGCAACGCCUGAAGUCAGUGAGCUAACCCUAACGGGAGGCAGCUGCCCAAGGCGGGGUCGGUAACUGGGACGAAGUCGUAACAAGGUA
rnacentral:rRNA from 1 species